CCUACGGGAGGCAGCAGUGAGGAAUAUUGGACAAUGGGCGCAAGCCUGAUCCAACCAUGCCGCGUGCAGGAAGACGGUCCUAUGGAUUGUAAACUGCUUUUAUACAGGAAGAAACACCUCUACGUGUAGAGACUUGACGGUACUGUAUGAAUAAGCAUCGGCUAACUCCGUGCCAGCAGCCGCGGUAAUACGGAGGAUGCAAGCGUUAUCCGGAAUCAUUGGGUUUAAAGGGUCCGUAGGCGGUUUAAUAAGUCAGUGGUGAAAGCCCAUCGCUCAACGAUGGAACGGCCAUUGAUACUGUUAAACUUGAAUUAUUAGGAAGUAACUAGAAUAUGUAGUGUAGCGGUGAAAUGCUUAGAGAUUACAUGGAAUACCAAUUGCGAAGGCAGGUUACUACUAAUAUAUUGACGCUGAUGGACGAAAGCGUGGGGAGCGAACAGGAUUAGAUACCCUGGUAGUCCACGCCGUAAACGAUGGAUACUAGCUGUUACGGAACAUCUGNGUGNGUAGAGAAGUAGAUAAGUAUACCACCGUACGGGAGGUACGUUCGCGAGAAGUAGAAACGUACGAAGUAGUAAGUUAGUACGGCGUAGAGACGUUACGCCGACGGACGACCGACGAGGGAGGAGGG
rnacentral:rRNA from 1 species